UACGAAGGGGGCUAGCGUUGUUCGGAAUUACUGGGCGUAAAGCGCACGUAGGCGGAUAUUUAAGUCAGGGGUGAAAUCCCAGAGCUCAACUCUGGAACUGCCUUUGAUACUGGGUAUCUUGAGUAUGGAAGAGGUAAGUGGAAUUGCGAGUGUAGAGGUGAAAUUCGUAGAUAUUCGCAGGAACACCAGUGGCGAAGGCGGCUUACUGGUCCAUACUGACGCUGAGGUGCGAAAGC
rnacentral:rRNA from 1 species